rnacentral:rRNA from 1 species
UACGAAGGGGGCUAGCGUUGUUCGGAUUUACUGGGCGUAAAGCGCACGUAGGCGGAUCUUUAAGUCAGAGGUGAAAUCCCAAGGCUCAACCUUGGAACUGCCUUCGAUACUGAGAGUCUCGAGUCCGGGAGAGGAGAGUGGAACUGCGAGUGUAGAGGUGAAAUUCGUAGAUAUUCGCAAGAACACCAGUGGCGAAGGCGGCUCACUGGCCCGGUACUGACGCUGAGGUGCGAAAGCGUGGGGAGCAAACAGG